AUUGAACUCUGGCGGCAGGCUUAACACAUGCAAGUCGAGCGGAGAGAGGUAGCUUGCUACCGAUCUUAGCGGCGGACGGGUGAGUAAUGCUUAGGAAUCUGCCUAUUAGUGGGGGACAACAUUUCGAAAGGAAUGCUAAUACCGCAUACGUCCUACGGGAGAAAACAGGGGAUCUUCGGACCUGGCGCUAAUAGAUGAGCCUAAGUCGGAUUAGCUAGUUGGUGGGGUAAAGGCCUACCAAGGCGACGAUCUGUAGCGGGUCCGAGAGGAUGAUCCGCCACACUGGGACUGAGACACGGCCCAGACUCCUACGGGAGGCAGCAGUGGGGAAUAUUGGACAAUGGGCGCAAGCCUGAUCCAGCCAUGCCGCGUGUGUGAAGAAGGCCUUAUGGUUGUAAAGCACUUUAAGCGAGGAGGAGGCUACUUUAGUUAAUACCUAGAGAUAGUGGACGUUACUCGCAGAAUAAGCACCGGCUAACUACGUGCCAGCAGCCGCGGUAAGAC
rnacentral:rRNA from 1 species